UUUUUUGGGAGACAGACCUUAUCUUCAUCUUUGAAAAAAAAAUGUCCAGCUAUUCAAGUGAGUCCGGCAACUCUCCUCCAAGGCGACGAGUUCGCUUGGACACGCAUUCGUCAACGGAGGAGAGGUAUUCCGGCCCUGUUCCUACAGCGGGAGAGGAGGAAGUCGGGGGUGGACACCAUGAAUCG